GUCUCCUGCAGCUACAGAGGAGAUAUCUAGCUGUGAUUUACCCACUUUGAACCAGGGAAAAGUGGCCUUGAGGUCUGAGAUAGCAGGUUCUCGAACUCCUUGGGGUUAAGUUAGGGACCAGGGAGGCUAGUUUGGAAGGUACUCCAACUAAGGUUUGCAGCGGGCUUGCAACGGACCUUCGG